UUGGUAAUUUCUAGAAAUAGCAAGUCAUAUUGAUGAAGAAGAAAGGUAGGCAUUAUUUUAUUGUUUGCUUCAUUUAGAAUGCAGUUGCGGAUUAUGAAAACCCUCAAUUGGAAGGAAGGGAUAAAUCGGGGAUUCUCUGUUUCAAGCUUGAGGUUGGUGUUGGAGCAAUGAAUGGCAAGGAUUUUGAGGUUGGAGUGGUUGGCAAGCGAUGAGAGUGAAAAUGAGCCACUGAAAUUGUUGUCGG